AGUGGGAUAGUCAGAGAGAUGCAGAAAGUAGACAAGACUACAAGGAGAUAUGGCGCCAGGUGAAGAGAGAGGUGGCGAAGGCUAAAGAAAAAGCAUAUGAUGAGUUGUAUGAGAGGUUGGACACUAAAGAGGGAGAAAAGGACCUGUACUGAUUGGCUAGAUAGAGGGACCGAGCUGGGAAAGAUGUGCAGCAGGUUAGGAUAAUAAAAGAUAAAGAUGGAAACGUACUCACAAGCGAGGAGAGUGUGCUGAGCAGAUGGAAAGAGUACUUUGAGAGGCUUAUGAAUGAAGAGAAGGAGAGAGAGAAAAGUAAGGACAGCUAUGAAGAGGAUGAAGAAUGGAAAAGCCGUUGUUCCAGAUGACAUACCUGUGGAAGCAUGGAGGUGUUUAGGAGAGAUGGCAGUGGAGUUUUUAACCAGAUUGUUUAAUGGAAUCUUGGAAAUUGAGAGGAUGCCUGAGGAGUGGAGAAAAAGUGUACUGGUGCUGAUAUUUAAGAAUAAGGGGGAUGUGCAGAACUGUAGUAACUACAGGGGGAUAAAAUUGAUCAGCCACAGCAUGAAGUUAUGGGAAAGAGUAGUGGAAGCUAGGUUAAGAAGUGAGGUGAUGAUUAGUGAGCUGCAGUAUGGUUUCAUUCCAAGAAAGAGCACCACAGAUGCAAUGUUUGCUCUGAGGGUGCUGAUGGAAAAGUAUAGAGAAGGCCAGAAGGAGUUGCAUUGCGUUUUUGUGGACCUGGAGAAAGCAUAUGACAGGGUGCCUCAAGAGAAGUUGUGGUAUUCUAUGAGGAAGUCUAGAGUGGCAGAGAAGUAUGUAAGAGUUGUACAGGAUAUGUGCAAAGGAAGUGAGACCGUGGUGAGGUCUG